rnacentral:sRNA from 1 species
GCGGAGGAAAAGAAACCAACUGGGAUUGCCCUAGUAACGGCGAGUGAAGCGGCAACAGCUCAAAUUUGAAAUCUGGCCUCCUCUGGUGGUCCGAGUUGUAAUUUGCAGAGGGUGCUUUGGUGUUGUCAGUGGCCUAAGUUCCUUGGAACAGGACAUCACAGAGGGUGAGAAUCCCGUCUAUGGUCGCCAGCCUUCACCGUGUAAAGCCCCUUCGACGAGUCGAGUUGUUUGGGAAUGCAGCUCUAAAUGGGAGGUAAAUUUCUUCUAAAGCUAAAUACCGGCCAGAGACCGAUAGCGCACAAGUAGAGUGAUCGAAAGAUGAAAAGCACUUUGGAAAGAGAGUCAAAUAGCACGUGAAAUUGUUGAAAGGGAAGCGCUUGCAGCCAGACUUGCCCGCAGUUGCUCAUCCGGACUCUUGCCCGGAGCACUCUUCUGCGGACAGGCCAGCAUCAGUUCGGGUGGCUGGAUAAAGGCCUCUGUCAUGUAUCUCCCUUCGGGGUGACCUUAUAGGGGAGGUGUAAUGCAGUCAACCCGGACUGAGGUCCGCGCUUUUGCUAGGAUGCUGGCGUAAUGGCUGUAAGCGGCCCGUCUUGAAACACGGACCAAGGAGUCUAACAUCUAUGCGAGUGUUUGGGUGUCAAGCCCAAGCGCGCAAUGAAAGUGAACGUAGGUGGGAACCCUCUUCUUGGGGGUGCACCAUCGACCGAUCCUGAUGUCUUCGGAUGGAUUUGAGUAAGAGCAUAGCUGUUGGGACCCGAAAGAUGGUGAACUAUGCUUGAAUAGGGUGAAGCCAGAGGAAACUCUGGUGGAGGCUCGCAGCGGUUCUGACGUGCAAAUCGAUCGUCAAAUUUGGGCAUAGGGGCGAAAGACUAAUCGAACUAUCUAGUAGCU